UUGGCAAAAAGUUUCUCUCUCCUCAGACGGGCUCUCUCACGAACUCUCUGGAGGGUGGGGUUCGCUCUCUGGGGGGAUUUUCUCUGGACGGAGCAUUCGAAGGAUCCCUCUCAAAAAAGAAAAAACGGCCGAACGGUCUCUCGGACUCUCUCUCUCUCUGAUCGGUUCAUCAUCUGGUGAGUUGAAAACCCUUGAUUGGAUCUCUGGAUCCAAUCGGGAAUCGGUGAAGCAGCUCUGUUCGAUUCCCUAUCGUCGCAAAUCGUGCCGGACGCCGUCGAAGAGCAGCGUCGCCGCCACCGCCGAUUGGAGGAUCUCGGAUCUCACCGCCUCGCGUGGCUCGGCCGGAUUGACGGACGCUCUCAAAGGGAUCUCUCUUUGGAUUAGUGAGAGUUCAAUCGUUCUUUCGGAGGCUCCUUCUCUGUCGAAGCUUAGCUCGAGGUUUCUCAAUCGGUAGUAGGUAUGUUUGAAGCAGUCGGCUGUGCAGUAACUUUGGGCCUCUGCUUCAAUUGUAAGUUUACUCCUGACUCGUUGCUUUGUCCGACAUGAUGCCAUUGUCCACACCUUGUAAUGGCCAUCCACUAUGGUUCGUUUCUUCUGUUCUCUGAUCCUGUUUUGAAGGUGUAGGAUUGAUCGGUUGAUUAUGUAUAGGUUCUUAGGUCAGUACAGAUUGUGAAUAUGUCUAGUUCUCGUAGAAAGUUAUGUAUGGCUGCAACUUCACCCAAGUAGUUGGAUAUUGCUCACCUAAGGUUCGUGAGCUUGUGAAUUGUGGUUAGCUGAAUGUUACAUUUGGUGAUCCUCUGUGUCAUUGAUGUCGGCUCUUGGAAUGCAUCAAAGUAGUUGGAUACUGCUCACGUAUACAUCUGGUUGUGGAUCAUGCAGUGUAGCUGUGCCGAUAUCCCUACGUUUAAUGCAUCUGUGUACUGAUGUACACAUGCACAAGUGCUUUAACUUUUGGUCAAUCAAAACUUCUUCCUUUGUUCAGCCUUGCUCUUUGGAUGGCAUGUCACUGCAUUUGCGAGGCUAUAUGUUAAUCUGUUCUAGGAUUUUGGAGGUUAAUGAGUCAAUGUGAUUAAUAGAUUGAUUUGGCAAUUAAACGCAGAAAUUAAUGGAAGAAAUCAGCUAGAAAAAUAAUUCUGAUUUCUUAAAGCUUUGAAUCAGUAGGGUGCCUAUUAAAAUUGAAGUUCAUUUGCUGUGAGAAACAAGCCACUAAAUCUAGGAGCUGAAUCUGGGAAUUUUGACUUCAAUUCUUCAAUGAUAGUUUCUGGCAUGAUCUGUGUUUGUUCUCUAAUCAUACGUUGUCUUGAAUAUAUUGAUAUAAUCUACUGAGGUUAAUGAAUUUCUGUGGAUUGAUGAUCAAUGAUCAUGAACUUGAAAUUGAUUGAACUUGAUUUACCUUGAUAUGUCACUUUCUGUUUUGGCUUAAAUGAGGUGAUAGAUGAGGCUUUCUGGUCUUGAGCCCUUUUAGACAUAGCAAAUAGACUUCUCAAGCUUCGAUUUGAUAUGUCACACGCCCUGAAUAGACAUCAUCCGGUCAUCGAAAAAUACCGACAGUCUGUCAAUUCUGCAGUAGUUUUUUUUUAGGUUGAUUUGCUGUUUUGACCUGCUGCAAUUUUCUGUUUUAACCGGAACGAGCUGGAAGAUGUUGUUAUUAGGACUUAAUGUCUUCUAGAGAUUUGUAAUAGGCUUCUCAAAAUUUCCAUUGACAUAUUAUAUGUGCGAUUUGGUCAUCAUUUGCCCUGCCUUUCCUUUUUUCAAAUCGAGCUUUGAAAUCUGGAAUUUGUCUUGAACUGUAAUGCUGUCUUUUCUGUGGAUAGUUGUUGUUAGUCUUAAGAUGAGAUAGUAGAUUUGCCCAAAUUUCCUUCAAUAUGUUGUAGAAUGACGGUGUGACAUGUUACUAUGAUCUAUUCUUGAUUGAUUUGUUCAUGUUCUUAAUAUUUUUUUAGAAAUUCAUGCGUUAGGAAUCUUGAGGUGCUUCCUUCAUGGAAUGACAUCCUUUAUCAAUUGUCUACAAAACAGUUUUAGGUAUCAUGUGGGUUACACAUUGAUUGCUCCAUUUGCCUUAAAUACACAUGUUGAGUGAAUUCAAUGGUGCAUGUUUUGGAAUAAGUGAUCUUUAGUUGGUUCAUUCAUUGUUUUGGGUUGAUUGAGGACCAAGGUCAUAUGGCUUGAAUGUUUGUCAUGUUAUAUGCUUUGUGUGUGAUCGUUAUAUAGAUGAUUUAGGUGUAAUACAUAAUGAUGCUAAAUCUUGAGAUUUCACUUAGAAUUUGAUCUAGAAGACUUUGUGACUUCAGUCACUCUUUGUGAACAUAAAAGAAUGUCUUGCUUUUGAUUGUUUCGAUACGUGAUGAUUGUUUCUUUCAUUUGUAUGCAUCUAAUCAUCCAGAUUUUCUAGAUUAGGUUUAGAAUAGGAUCCAAAAAGUGGAUAAGAAGUGAAGAUGGUGGAGGUCGAUGUUCACUCCGACCGUUAUUCUGUAAUAUUCAUUUUUCUCCCGACAUAUGUCUCGGGUUCCUUGUGUUGUAUAAAACCCGACGAGUUGCGGGUUUUCCC